rnacentral:rRNA from 1 species
UCCUACGGGGGGCAGCAGUGAGGAAUAUUGGUCAAUGGCCGGAAGGCUGAACCAGCCAAGCCGCGUGAAGGACGAAGGUGCCAAGCAUUGUAAACUUCUUUUGUCAAGGGACAAAAUCAGGCUCGAGAGCCUGACCGAGGGUACUUGAAGAAAAAGCAUCGGCUAACUCCGUGCCAGCAGCCGCGGUAAUACGGAGGAUGCGAGCGUUAUCCGGAUUUAUUGGGUUUAAAGGGUGCGUAGGCGGGCUGUUAAGUCAGCGGUAAAAGCCCGGGGCUCAACCCCGGCGCGCCGUUGAAACUGGGUGG